rnacentral:tRNA from 1 species
UCCCAGGUGGCUCAGUGGUAAAGAAUCUGCCUGCAAUGCAGGAGACCUGAGUUCAGUUCCUGGGUUGGGAA